GAGCGAGGACGGAACGGGGUCACUGGUUCUAAUGGCCUUGAUGGAGGUUCUCCUUGUGUUCUUGUUUUGCCCGACACUUCCUUAUUGACCCGCUGUGUGUGUGUGCGUGUGUGUGUAUGUGUGUGUGUCUGUGUGUGUGUCCGGAGCACUUCCUUCAUGACAACGGGGUCCGGGCCCUCGGGGGGGGCGCUGUUCUCCUCCCAGACACUAAUGUGAAGUGACAUGACAGCCAGUGGCGAGCUUCUCCGAGGGGACGCUGCAUUGUGGAGGAGACCCCGAGAGUCUGGACGACAAUGGAGAAAAGACCUCAAAGGACGGGGCUGUUUUCUCUCUGCCUCUGAAAAGCGUCCAAGACUCACCGUCCCUGCCGACGCUUUGUCUCUGUCCACACACAUUUUGGUGCUCCAACAAAGUGUGUUUGGAUGGAUCGCAUCCUUUGGACCUUCUGCGGAGGACAUCACGUGAACGCGGUCUUUAUUUAGGCCCCGUGCUCAUUAAAGUUUAAGGUGGCACGUGUCCGUGGAGGCGGAGUCUCCCCUGAUUCUUCUUCCCUGUUUCGCCACAAAGAGAGUUGCAGACUGGAUGAGGAACAAACACCGGGGCUAUUAUGAGGAGCACGUCAAUAAUUCAUGACGGGUUUGUGCUUUAGUGACGAGGUGCUGGCCCCCCAGAAUCCCCUUUUAACAAGGUCUGUUAUUCUCGUGGAUGGCCGCCAGGAGGCGCUGGCCUGUGAGGUCGGAUGCAGUUGAAUGGUGCAUCGAGCCCAGGCACGAGCUGGGGAAAUACAGGAUAUUAGGUAGUUGGCCUUCAAAAUAAAACGCAGAUUGUUAGUUUAGACGCGGCUGCACAAAACGUGCAGCCUGUUAGACAAGUUGGAGGUUUCAUCACAAAUGUCAAGAUGGAUUUCUUCUACAUUGUGUUUGAUUUAAAAAUUGUUUGACCUGCAAGAGCGAGUUUAUGCAAUGUAAUAUAGAUUUGUUUUAAUAAUAAUAUCACUACAAUAUCUUUGCCUGAGCACUUUCUUUUUAUUGAUUUUACAACAUAUUCCAGACAGAUACUACUUUUUGCUAGUAUUUUUAUCUUAUGUACAUGAUAUGGUGCAUAGAUGAAUGGAAACACAUGUAGAAGAGGAGCCAUCGGGACAGAUAUGAUGGUUGAAAUCGGUCAAUCACUUGCUGAGGGGCCUUUAUAUGAGCCCCUGACCUGCCCUCAUCCACAUUGAGUCCGAACCAGACACUUACCCCAGUCUAGAACUUACCCCAGUCUAGUACCUACCCCAGUCUAGAACUUACCCCGAUCUGGUACUUACCCCAGUCUAGAACCUACCCCAGUCUAGAACUUACCCCAGUCUAGUACCUACCCCAGUCUAGAACUUACCCCAGUCUAGAACUUACCCCAGUCUGCUACUUACCCCAGUCUAGUACUUACCCCAGUCUAGAACUUACCCCAGUCUGCUACUUACCCCAGUCUGCUACUUACCCCAGUCUAGUACUUACCCCAGUCUAGUACUUACCCCAGUCUAGUACUUACUCCAGUCUGGUACUUACCCCAGUCUAGACACGUACCCCAGUCUAGUAUUUACCCCAGUCUAGACACGUACCCCAGUCUAACACGUACCCCAGUCUGGUACCUACCCCAGUCUAGUACUUACCCCAGUCUAGACACGUACCCCAGUCUGGUACUUACCCCAGUCUAGUACUUACUCCAGUCUGGUACUUACUCCAGUCUGGUACUUACCCCAGUCUGGUACUGGGUAAGGUUUCUUCUCUCUAUUUUAUUUUGACAUGUUCCCCCCGGAAGCCGAGGUGGUUGUGCGAGUCGGUCACAUGGUGCUGCCUCACCGACAGCUGAUGGAGCCAGAUGAGAGAAGCAGGAGACGAGCCCCUCCGGUCUGCGCGUCAGCAUCCCUCAAACGUCCGCUGCGGUGACCCGCGCGCCACAUAGCGAGAAACGGACCGCCGGGACCCCCGCGACCACCACCCGCACGCAGCGGGGGUUUUAACCCUGCUUUGCUUUGCAUGUGAUGCCAAAGGAAGACGCGUAAAAAAACAGGGAGGGCUGGUGCUGCUGCUGCUGCUGCGAGGAGGAGGAGGAGGAGGAAGAGGAGGAGGAGGAGGAGGCUGCACGGAGCGGCGGAGGAUGAUAGCGGGGAUCGAGGCGCGCUGUCCCGGGAGAACUCAUCGGAAGAGCCGGCCGCAGGGGACCGAGAUGACGCUCUAACGCACCUGCGGGGCUGCGCGGCCGGGUGAGUAAGCGACGCCUUUCCGACCUCCACCUCUUGUCAUUUCGGGCUCCACUUUGGUGACAUCUGGGCCGAAGUCUGAUGCAUUCGUGCAUUUUAUUUUAAUCGCUCGCCUCACACCUGUCCGAUCCAUCAUGCACGAGCUCCUUAUAGCAGAAGCGCCGCACGCACCGGGCGGGCAGCGGCGUGUGUGAAAGUUCCCUCUGCUAAUUUGGAAAAUGGUGCACUUUUCUUUCUCUUCUUUUUUUUUAUUUUUUAACGCCAUGCACACGCCCCGCAAGUUGAGGCACGCACGCGUUUUAAGGUUGAAUGUCCCGCAGCGCGUUCCGGCGGAGGACGGUGGUCUCUGCUCAGAGUUCUCAGCAAGUGUGGCGGGGUUAAUGAUUAAAAACGCCUUUUUUGUGAGGUUCUCUCCCGUCGUGAAGCCGCCGGUGGCCCGGACGUGGAGAUAAGAUCACUGUGGACUCCGAGCUGACGGACUCAGAGAGGAGAAGGCAACCCGUCACUUAAAGAAAAAAAAUAAAUCUAUUUAAAAUAAUUCAAGUUGCAUUAUGUGUUGAAAUUUGGAGGAUCGUGGCCACGCCUGCGCGCCUCCGUCAGUCCGCCAUGAUUCACUCACCUGUGAUAAGCUGCUCUCUCUGCUCCCAGUGCGGGGGUGUGAGUAGAACUUCUCUCUGCAUGUAGAUGAAUGAAGCCCACUUACUAUGCAGCAAGGGUUCCCAUCUCCAGUGUGUGUGUGUGUGUGUGUGUGUGUGUGUAUUUCCCCUCAUUACACUCAUUGUGUUGACUUAAGCAGGAGGGUCACCCCUGAGGCCGCAUCGGGGAGCGAGGCCCUGAAUUGCACCGCGCUCACGCAUGAACGUGACCUGGGUUUAUGUUUUCUGGCCCAGAUUUGAGUCGGUCACUACGAAGGCCUUUUGGUGCUCAGCGGUUCGGCUCUCGCGUGCUUGUUUCACAGCCUGCACACGCGUGCUGCUCCUCGCGGGCGGCUCACGUCCCUCGCCCGUGUGUCGUGUUUUCUCCCCCACCCCGAGCAUGUGUCAGACGUGGGGCGCUUUGAGGCAGAGGCAGCCUCCCGCGGAGGGUGACAGAGCAGUCAGACGGCCCCCCCCCCCGGGGGGGCGCAGAGCCGUUCCUGCUGCUGAUGCGCCCAAGGCGACAGGGCGCUCCUUCCUGCUCCCUAUCUCCUCCCUUCCUGCUCCCUUCCUCCUUGCUUCAUCCGCCUUCCGUCCCGUCACCCGUUCCCACCUUCUCUCUCUCUCUCUCUCUCAGAUUGUGCAGGUAG
ensembl:lncRNA